UACAGGGGGUGCAAACGUUGCUCGGAAUCAUUGGGCGUAAAGCGCACGUAGGCGGACUGUCACGUCUGCUGUGAAAAGCUGGGGCUUAACCCUGGCCUUGCAGUGGAUACGGGCAGACUAGAGGUAGGUAGGGGAGAAUGGAAUUCCCGGUGUAGCGGUGAAAUGCGCAGAUAUCGGGAGGAACACCGGUGGCGAAGGCGGUUCUCUGGGCCUUACCUGACGCUGAGGAGCGAAAGCGUGGGGAGCGAACAGG
rnacentral:rRNA from 1 species